AUUGAACGCUGGCGGCAGGCCUAACACAUGCAAGUCGAGCGGUUGAGGUAGCUUGCUACCGAUGCAGCGGCGAACGGGUGAGUAAUACAUGGGAAUCUGCCUGGUAGUGGGGGACAACGUCUCGAAAGGGACGCUAAUACCGCAUACGCCCUACGGGGGAAAGGGGGGGAUCUUUGGACCUCUCGCUAUCAGAUGAGCCCAUGUCAGAUUAGCUAGUUGGUAGGGUAAAGGCCUACCAAGGCGACGAUCUGUAACUGGUCUGAGAGGAUGAUCAGUCACACUGGAACUGAGACACGGUCCAGACUCCUACGGGAGGCAGCAGUGGGGAAUAUUGGACAAUGGGCGCAAGCCUGAUCCAGCCAUGCCGCGUGUGUGAAGAAGGCCUUAGGGUUGUAAAGCACUUUCAGUGGGGAGAAAGGUUAUUCACCUAAUACGUGAGUAAAUUGAUGUUACCCACAGAAGAAGCACCGGCUAACUCCGUGCCAGCCGCCGCGGUAACAC
rnacentral:rRNA from 1 species